UACGGAGGGUGCGAGCGUUAAUCGGAAUUACUGGGCGUAAAGCGCACGUAGGCGGUCAGGCAAGUCGGGUGUGAAAGCCCUGGGCUCAACCUGGGAAUUGCAUUCGAAACUAUCUGACUAGAGUAUGGGAGAGGGAAGCGGAAUUUCCGGUGUAGCGGUGAAAUGCGUAGAUAUCGGAAGGAACACCAGUGGCGAAGGCGGCUUCCUGGACUAAUACUGACGCUCAUGCACGAAAGCGUGGGGAGCAAACAGG
rnacentral:rRNA from 1 species